rnacentral:rRNA from 1 species
CGGGGUGCAGCAGGCGCGAAACCUCUGCAAUAGGCGAAAGCUUGACAGGGUUACUCUGAGUGACGUCCGUUAAGGACGUCUUUUGGCACCUCUAAAAAUGGUGCAGAAUAAGGGGUGGGCAAGUCUGGUGUCAGCCGCCGCGGUAAUACCAGCACCCCGAGUGGUCGGGACGAUUAUUGGGCCUAAAGCAUCCGUAGCCGGUUCUGCAAGUCUUCCGUUAAAUCCACCUGCUCAACAGAUGGGCCGCGGAGGAUACUACAGGGCUAGGAGGCGGGAGAGGCAAGCGGUACUCAGUGGGUAGGGGUAAAAUCCUCUGAUCCACUGAAGACCACCAGUGGCGAAGGCGGCUUGCCAGAACGCGCUCGACGGUGAGGGAUGAAAGCUGGGGGAGCAAACCGGAUUAGAUACCCGGGUAGUCCCAGCUGUAAACGAUGCAGACUCGGUGAUGGGUUGGCUUCGAGCCAACCCAGUGCCGCAGGGAAGCCGUUAAGUCUGCCGCCUGGGGAGUACGGUCGCAAGACUGAAACUUAAAGGAAUUGGCGGGCGAGCACAAGGGNAAUUCGCGGCC